UACGUAGGUGGCAAGCGUUAUCCGGAAUUACUGGGCGUAAAGCGCACGCAGGCGGUCUUGUAAGUUUGACGUGAAAGCUCCCGGCUCAACCGGGAAGGGUUAUGCCAGACUGCUAGUCUUGAGUGCGAGAGAGGAGCGUGGAAUUCCGGGUGUAGUGGUGAAAUGCGUAGAGAUCCGGAGGAACCCCAGAGGCGAAGGCGGCGCUCUGGCUCGCAACUGACGCUCAGACACGACAGCAUGGGGAGCGAACGGG
rnacentral:rRNA from 1 species